rnacentral:lncRNA from 1 species
AGACUGCUAAGCUGAUAGGGUAACCCUGCCUCCUGAAAACAGGCAUCUCAUCUCUGCAGGAUGUGGGAAGGAGGAGGUGGGGACAUCAGCACUUCAUCUGUGUGCAGAGCACUGGGGUUGGUGCUGUGGGGCGACCACAAGAGGCUGUAGGUGCCCCUGUUUGCCCCAAAGCUGGCCAGCCCAACUCAGGACUGCAGGGACCAUGUGAAUGGUGCUCCAGUGACACAUCUCGAGUUGCUUCCUGUCCCGGCCAGGGCCCAGCCGCCAUGACACACACGCCAGUGGAGGAAUCCCUCUUCCAAAUCAUCCGCUGCUACUGUCAGUACGCGGCCCGGGAGGGGGAUGUGGAGACCCUGUCCCUGGAGGAGUUGAAGGCUCUGCUUCUGGACAAUGUACCCUGCUUCAUGGAGAGCCUGGUGCCACGGGCUCGGUGUCACAAACAAUCCCUGGGCAGCAUAGCAUGUAGGCAUCGGUCCCACUCCUUGGUGUCCCUGCAACAGUACUGGGGAUGCAGGCCGGAGGGGCAGGUGGGCUGUGCCCUGGGCAGCUGCCGGUGUGAAGGAGGGGGCACGGCCUUCCGUCCG